rnacentral:rRNA from 1 species
AUUCGGAUUGUCAAGAACCUCAGAGUCUGCCAAGAUUGCCAUCAUGUCACCAAACUUAUAUCCAAAGUAUAUGGGAGAGAAAUUAUUGUUAGAGAUCGAACAUGUUUCCAUUUGUUUAAGGAUGGCACCUGUUCGUGCAAGGACUAUUGGUAG